CACCCGACCCCUCUCUCUCUCUCUAACCCUUUCUUUUAGAAAUCUUGAUUUUGAGAAAAAAGGGCUUGAUUUGGUGUAGCUUUGUGGAUGUUCUUGCUUGGGAAGAACUUGAGGAACUUGUGGAAAGGGUAAGGCAUUAGCUGAUCAGCCAUGAGUUUCAGGAGCAGGGCGAAGAAUGUACAUGUUCAUGCCACUUCAGACCAAGCGGGUUAUGGGUCUAACAGUGUUGACUUUUGUAUUCUGUUUUGCCGCUUAGGUCGGCUAGUAAGAAAGAACUUGUAAUAAUUUUGUAAAUAUUUUUGGGAUCUUAACUAUGUUUGAAAAAGUUUAAAUAUAUUACAAGUUUAUUUUCAGUCUGUUUAAUAUAAAAGUUUAAAUUCUGUGCUGUUUUUAAUUA